rnacentral:rRNA from 1 species
AUUGAACGCUGGCGGCAUGCCUUACACAUGCAAGUCGAACGAAGUCUUCGGACUUAGUGGCGGACGGGUGAGUAACACGUGGGAACGUGCCUUUAGGUUCGGAAUAACUCAGGGAAACUUGUGCUAAUACCGAAUGUGCCCUUCGGGGGAAAGAUUUAUCGCCUUUAGAGCGGCCCGCGUCUGAUUAGCUAGUUGGUGAGGUAAAGGCUCACCAAGGCGACGGUCAGUAGCUGGUCUGAGAGGAUGAUCGGCCACAUUGGGACUGAGACACGGCCCAAACUCCUACGGGAGGCAGCAGUGGGGAAUCUUGCGCAAUGGGCGAAAGCCUGACGCAGCCAUGCCGCGUGAAUGAUGAAGGUCUUAGGAUUGUAAAAUUCUUUCACCGGGGACGAUAAUGACGGUACCCGGAGAAGAAGCCCCGGCUAACCUCGUGCCAGCCGCCGCCGUAA